rnacentral:tRNA from 1 species
GCCCGAGUGGUGGAAUGGCAGACACAACAGACUUAAAAUCUGUCGGGGGAAACCCCUUACGGGUUCGAAUCCCGUCUCGGGUACCA